AACGAACGCUGGCGGCACGCUUAACACAUGCAAGUCGAACGGGUAGCAAUACUAGUGGCGCACGGGUGAGUAAUACAUAGGAAUCUGCCUUAUAGACAGGGAUAACUAUUGGAAACGGUAGCUAAUACCUGAUGAGUUCUACGGAAGAAAGUAUUUAUACGCUAUAAGAUGAGCCUAUGGUUGAUUAGCUAGUUGGUAGGGUAAGAGCCUACCAAGGCGAUGAUCAAUAGCUGUUCUUAGAGGAAGACCAGCCACACUGGAACUGAGACACGGUCCAGACUCCUACGGGAGGCAGCAGUGGGGAAUUUUGGACAAUGGGGGAAACCCUGAUCCAGCGAUGCCGCGUGAGUGAAGAAGGCCUUCGGGUUGUAAAACUCUUUUACUGAUGAAGAUAAUGACGGUAAUCAGAGAAUAAGUUCCGGCAAACUUCGUGCCAGCAGCCGCAGUAAUACGAAGGGAACUAGCGUUGUUCGGAAUCACUGGGCGUAAAGGGUGAGUAGGCUGUUUGGUAAGUUAGAUGUGAAAUCCUUACUCUCAAGGUAAGAACUGCAUUUAAUACUGCCAAACUAGAGAACGGAAGGGGAUAAUGGAAUUCCAAGUGUAGAGGUGGAAUUCGUAGAUAUUUGGAGGAACACCAGAAGCGAAGGCGUUUAUCUGGUCCGUAACUGACGCUGAGUCACGAAAGCAUGGGUAGCAAACAGGAUUAGAUACCCUGGUAGUCCAUGCUGUAAACGAUGAGUGCUAUAUAUUGGGGAGCGAUCUUCAGUAUUUGAGUUAACGCAUUAAGCACUCCGCCUGAGUAGUACGGUCGCAAGAUUAAAACUCAAAGGAAUUGACGGGGACCCGCACAAGCGGUGGAGCAUGUGGUUUAAUUCGAAGCUACGCGAAGAACCUUACCAGGGUUUGACAUUAUGCUAGAGAUAGAAAGAGAUUUUUAUUGCAUUUAGUUGGAGCAUAACAGGUGCUGCAUGGCUGUCGUCAGCUCGUGUCGUGAGAUGUUGGGUUAAGUCCCGCAACGAGCGCAACCCUCAUCCUUAGUUGCUAACAGGUUAAGCUGAGAACCCUAGGGAAACUGCUAGUGUUAAGCUAGAGGAAGGUGGGGAUGACGUCAAGUCCUCAUGGCCCUUACAUCCUGGGCUACACACGUGCUACAAUGGUGGUGACAAAGAGCUGCAAAAUCGCGAGAUGGAGCAAAUCUCAAAAAGCCACCUCAGUUCGGAUUGCACUCUGCAACUCGAGUGCAUGAAGUUGGAAUCGCUAGUAAUCGCAUAUCAGCAUGUUGCGGUGAAUACGUUCCCGGGUCUUGUACACACCGCCCGUCACACCAUGGGAGCUGAUUUUACCUUAAGAUGGUGUACCAACCGCAAGGAGGAAGCCAACCAAGGUAGGGUUAGUGACUGGGGUG
rnacentral:rRNA from 2 species